AGUGAACGCUGGCGGUAGGCCUAACACAUGCAAGUCGAACGGCAGCACAGGAGAGCUUGCUCUCUGGGUGGCGAGUGGCGGACGGGUGAGGAAUACAUCGGAAUCUACUUUUUCGUGGGGGAUAACGUAGGGAAACUUACGCUAAUACCGCAUACGACCUACGGGUGAAAGCAGGGGAUCUUCGGACCUUGCGCGAUUGAAUGAGCCGAUGUCGGAUUAGCUAGUUGCCGGGGUAAAGGACCACCAAGGCGACGAUCCGUAGCUGGUCUGAGAGGAUGAUCAGCCACACUGGAACUGAGCCACGGUCCAGACUCCUACGGGGGGCAGAAGUGGGGAAUAUUGGACAAUGGGCGCAAGCCUGAUCCAGCCAUACCGCGUGGGUGAAGAAGGCCUUCGGGUUGUAAAGCCCUUUUGUUGGGAAAGAAAUCCAGCUGGUUAAUACCCGGUUGGGAUGACGGUACCCAAAGAAUAAGCACCGGCUAACUUCGUGCCAGCAGCCGCCGUAA
rnacentral:rRNA from 1 species